AAGUUUUCAAAGGGAAAAAAAAUACACACGAUAUUCAUUGUCAACAUACUUAUUUUAUUAAACUAACUAAAAUUCAGGAAAUCUAGUACAAAACGGUAAUAUCCUAGAAAUGAAGUACUUAACAGUACUAAAGCAUCAACUAUACAUUCAGUGCAUCAACCAUUCAGGAAAUCUAGUACAAGUUUACAAUAUUUUAUUAACAUUAGUGAAGAACAAGACCAUGAAUAAGUCGAACACAACAAAGCCCUUGAGUGGUGUACGCAUUCUCUGCCUCCUUCCUAUCCCGUUGCUCUCUCUAUUUGUUUUUAACAUCUCUUCCCUUGGAUGCUGCUGAAGUUGGCACGGUAGCAACAAGUGUUAGUACAAGAACUUUAACAACCUCAAUUUUCUCAAAGAAAAGCUAAUAGAAGCCAAAGAG
rnacentral:lncRNA from 1 species